rnacentral:rRNA from 1 species
CCCCCAGUAAGGGCGACUGAACGGGGAGGAGCCCAGCGCGGAACCUCGCGCGCCUCGCCGGCUGCGUCUGAGGAAUGUCGCGUUCCGGAGGGGCCUUCUCCGACCACACCGACCCCCCCCAAGUCCGCUUGAACGCGGCCACUGCCCACGGAGGGUGCGAGGCCCGUACGGGGAUUAGGAGUCGGGCGGUCGGACGGCCCCGUCCGUAGAGUCGGGUUGCCUACUAACGCAGCCCAAAGUAGGUGGUAAACUCCAUCUAAGGCUAAAUA